ensembl:lncRNA
UUUGAUGUCAAGUGUCGGCCUAUGGGUUAUUGCUCAUUACGUCAGGGAUAAUGCUCUGUUUCUGCUCUUUUGUUGUCUUCUGUGUUUCCGAAGCCAUGCAUUUUUCUUGACCUGGUUCGGGGCAGAAAAUGUAUGUCAGUCAUCAUCUGAAUGGUUCAUGCCGUCAACUAGCCAACCUGUGACUGUCCACGCAACUCUUAAAGAACACUUUCAACCCGUGUGGUCAUCGGUUUCGUCCGCCCCACUAAGGUCGAUUCAUGACCAGUUCACUGUUUAGGUCAGUGCUGCGCUGAAGUCAUGUUCAUUUUAAUGCACUAUAUGCUCAAGAAUGUUUCCCCCCCAGUAUCUAUCCAUGUAACUGUGUUUUGUUUGUGGACGUUUCUCUGCAUUUAAUUCACGAGAACCGAAUGCAUAUGAAAGCUGUAUCCUGAAGGGACCAUUCUUAACUUCCUGUUUGUGAUUCAGUCUCCACUAUUUGAACAACAGGAAAUAUGUUGGGGAUUCACUAGGAGAAAAAGAAGUCACUCAAUUUCUUUCAUCUCACUCUUGCAUAUUAUGGAUUUUAAACAAAAUAGCUUGCUGGUGGAGGUCUGUAGAUGAGGAAAGACAGUGUAACCUACUGUAUUAAUCUUUAUGUAUGUGGAGGAUGACUUGUUGCUUAGAGGGAGGGCUGAAUAGGCCUGAGCUGAGAUACUGUCCCGAGGGGGGUUGUGAAAACACUAAAAUGUCCCUGUCCUGGAGGAUCUCACCAUCAAUGUGAUUCCUGUAAGCAGUUGGCUGACUGUUUUCUAUGUAUAUAAAUAAAUAAGUAAAAGAAAAAAUAAUAUUCCUAGAUAAGGAGUCUAUGGUGUAUAAAGACCAAACUGGUUGGACUAUGUAGCAUCUUAAUAAAUUAAAUGAAUAAAGCCCCUACCUAAAUCUGUGUCAGGUUAUUUUCUCUGCUCAGUGAGCCAACCGUUCCAAGCUUGUCGUACUGUCUAAAGAAGCCGAGUGACACGUCCAGUGACCACUUGAAUCUAGCUGUCAUCAGUAAAUGUGCAAAUUGUUUGCCGUCUGUCUAGCUCAUCUUUUCCCAGGGAGGACAGUUGGAUGACUGCACAUUCAUGGUCAAGGGAUUUCUGCAUUAAAUAUUGGAGAGUGAAAUGUCACCUUAAAUGACUGUUUUCCAUCACAGCCAAUAAACUACAGCUACAUCAACA